rnacentral:rRNA from 1 species
GACGGGGGCCCGCACAAGCGGUGGAGCAUGCGGUUCAAUCCGACGCUACGCGUAGAACCUUACCAGGGCUUGACAGCCCGUGAAAUCUCGGGGAAACCCGGGGACCGUGGCUCUGCUUCGGUAGAGCCGCGGAGGGUACAGGUGGUGCAUGGUUGUCGUCAGCUCGUGCCGUGAGGUGUUGGGUUCAGUCCCGCAACGAGCGCAACCCCUAUCGGAUGUUGCCAGCGGUUCGGCCGGGCACUCAUCCGAAACUGCCGGAGCAAUCCGGAGGAAGGUGGGGAUGACGUCAAAUCGGCAUGCUCCUUACGCCCUGGGCUACACGCAUGCUACAAUGGCCGUUACAAAGGGUUGCUAACCCGCAAGGGGGAGCCAAUCCCACAAAAGCGGCCUCAGUGCGGAUCGGAGUCUGCAACUCGACUCCGUGAAUGGCGGAAUCGCUAGUAACCGCAGAUCAGCAACGCUGUGGUGAAUACGUUCCCGGGCCUUGUACACACCGCCCGUCAACUGACGGAAGGGGGUUACACCCGAAGCCGGUCGGCUAAUC